CAAAAAUGUCCGCCGACCACCACCAAACCUUUCUCAUUCCACACACAUCCUCCCUGGCAGUCGCAGCUAAUAAAAAACAUUUUUACGAGAGCGUGCAGACAGCAAUUGGUCGCCGGCGGUCAUGUGUGCGCGUGCCCCGCAUUCCCUCGCGGUCAGGUUUUUUUCUCGCGCGCUCACCGCAGCGAAAUGCGCCUCCUAAUGCCUAGGCGUCUCCUCGCUUGGUAAGAAAUAUUGCAGCUGUGGAAGAUGGAGUCCAUUCUUGGUGGCGAUCAAAUAAGGUAGAGGGAAGCAGAUGUGCAUGAGAGAAACAAAGAAACAAAAGAAAGCUAUACAGUGGUGCAACCGAAGAGGCGAGUGAUAAAUCAGAAGGAAAAAGAAUCCCAGCAAUGUGUGCUGAAAGGUUUUUUGUGUUUUUGCGUAAAUCACAUUUGGGUGAACCUGAAAGUCAGAGGAAAGACCUCAGAUUUAGCUGGAUCUCAUCCAAUUGAUUUGUUCUGAUUAAAUGAUGUUACAAAAAAAACUGAAAUAUGCUGUUUAGAUAUUCCUGAAUGCAGCUGUUACUGUUGCUUUUCUGUUUUCAGGCAAGUUCUUAAUUUAGGUACCAUUCUAAAAUGUUUGAUUAUUUUUUUUUUAGGAUCUAUAUGGCAAAAAUCAGCUGACCAGGUAAAACUGUAAAAUAAAUGUAAA